rnacentral:lncRNA from 1 species
UGAAAAUUUUGCAAUUGGUUUAAGAAAAUAUUGCAUUGAUUUUUUUUAAAUCAAAAUUUAGUAUUGUUUGGUUGUCUUUACUAAUCUGAAAUACAUCGUGGCUUAUUAUUUGGAAAGAAAAUGUUGUUGUGUACGCUGCAAAAUACUUGGGAUAAAAGUAUUUAAACAUGCAACAAUUAUUGAUAGUCAUCAGUUUAAUCAUAGAACGUGAGCAGCCUCAUAAGAUUUUCAAAAAGUAGUUAAAAUCCCAUCAGGUUUGAUUGGAGAUAACAAUUUUAUAGUUAUUGAUGUUAUUUUUAUUUUAUUACUUUUCACCAGACAUUUGUAUUGUUCAAGAAUGAAACAAUAUGUUACGUUAAGAAAACUUGUUUUGUUUGUACAGUACAUAUUUCACUUUUAUACAGAAACUAAACUUCUAAUUUGUAUUUUUACGUUUUUUUCCUUCUACAUAUAUAUGAUCUAGUCACCUUUGU